CCUCGGAUCAGGUAGGAAUACGCGCUGAACUUAAGCAUAUCAAUAAGCGGAGGA
rnacentral:rRNA from 1 species